UAAAAGUCGUAACAAGGUCUCCGUUGGUGAACCAGCGGAGGGAUCAUUACUGAGUUUACGCUCUAUAACCCUUUGUGAACAUACCUAUAACUGUUGCUUCGGCGGGUAGGGUCUCCGUGACCCUCCCGGCCUCCCGCCCCCGGGCGGGUCGGCGCCCGCCGGAGGAUAACCAAACUCUGAUUUAACGACGUUUCUUCUGAGUGGUACAAGCAAAUAAUCAAAACUUUUAACAACGGAUCUCUUGGUUCUGGCAUCGAUGAAGAACGCAGCGAAAUGCGAUAAGUAAUGUGAAUUGCAGAAUUCAGUGAAUCAUCGAAUCUUUGAACGCACAUUGCGCCCGCCAGCAUUCUGGCGGGCAUGCCUGUUCGAGCGUCAUUUCAACCCUCAAGCUCUGCUUGGUGUUGGGGCCCUACAGCUGAUGUAGGCCCUCAAAGGUAGUGGCGGACCCUCCCGGAGCCUCCUUUGCGUAGUAACUUUACGUCUCGCACUGGGAUCCGGAGGGACUCUUGCCGUAAAACCCCCAAUUUNCCAAAGGNUGACCUCGGAUCAGGUAGGAAUACCCGCUGAACUUAAGCAUA
rnacentral:rRNA from 1 species